rnacentral:rRNA from 1 species
GACGAACGCGGCGGCGUGCCUAAUACAUGCAAGUAGAACGCUGAAGGAGGAGCUUGCUUCUCUGGAUGAGUUGCGAACGGGUGAGUAACGCGUAGGUAACCUGCCUGGUAGCGGGGGAUAACUAUUGGAAACGAUAGCUAAUACCGCAUAAGAGUAGAUGUUGCAUGACAUUUGCUUAAAAGGUGCAAAUGCAUCACUACCAGAUGGACCUGCGUUGUAUUAGCUAGUUGGUGAGGUAACGGCUCACCAAGGCAACGAUACAUAGCCGACCUGAGAGGGUGAUCGGCCACACUGGGACUGAGACACGGCCCAGACUCCUACGGGAGGCAGCAGUAGGGAAUCUUCGGCAAUGGACGGAAGUCUGACCGAGCAACGCCGCGUGAGUGAAAGAAAGGUUUUUCGGGAUCGUAAAAGCUUCUGUUGUAAAGAGAAAGAAACGAAGUGUG